rnacentral:rRNA from 1 species
GACGAACGCUGGCGGCGUGCUUAACACAUGCAAGUCGAACGGAAAGGCCCUGCUUGCAGGGUACUCGAGUGGCGAACGGGUGAGUAACACGUGGGUGAUCUGCCCUGCACUUCGGGAUAAGCCUGGGAAACUGGGUCUAAUACCGGAUAUGACCUUCCAUGUAGUGUGGGGGGUGGAAAGAUUUAUCGGUGUGGGAUGAGCCCGCGGCCUAUCAGCUUGUUGGUGGGGUAAUGGCCUACCAAGGCGUCGACGGGUAGCCGGCCUGAGAGGGUGGACGGCCACAUUGGGACUGAGAUACGACCCAGACUCCUACGGGAGGCAGCAGUGGGGAAUAUUGCACAAUGGGCGGAAGCCUUAUGCAGCGACGCCGCGUGGGGGAUGACGGCCUUCGGGUUGUAAACCUCUUUCGACAGGGACGAAGCUUCGGUGACGGUACCUGUAGAAGAAGCACCGGCUAACUACGUG